UUGAAAGCAUAGCCAGAUGCAAGCACAUGCUGCACAGCCAGGUAUUCAGUAUGAUCCUGCCAUUACCUAACUUAUAGACAAGUGAAAUUCUGAUCUUCUGCAUGCUGCACACCUUCUUGGCAGUAACACGGGAAGCAUUACCUGUUCACACUAAGUAGCUUGCAGAGCAGUGUACUACAUAUGUUUUAUAAUAGAUGGCUGCUUUGAGGAGCAGCUGCCUGAUGUAGUAUGAAAGAAAAAAAAUGAAAAUUAUCCAGUCCCCUGCCCCAACUAUAGAGGUCUGGGCCCUGGGAUUCAGCUCCCAAACUCUCCUCAGCAAUGUCUAUGAAUAUUGGACAUUAAUCUAAAGACAGCACCCAAAGAAUCUUUGCACCAUAACCACUAAAAUACAUUGUAGUAGUUAUGGUACUUUGAGUGCCAAAUUUACAUCUUAAUCUUAGUAAUUGUUGGCAUAAAAAUUAAGAAAUACAAA